AUUGAACGCUGGCGGCAGGCCUAACACAUGCAAGUCGAACGAGGGGCGGACGGGUGAGUAAUGUCUGGGAAACGGCCUGAUGGAGGGGGAUAACUACUGGAAACGGUCGCUAAUACCGCAUACCAGCGGUUGCGCACAGAUGGGAUUAACUAGUUGGUGGGGUAAAGGCUCACAUAGGCGACGAUCCCUAGCUGGUCUGAGAGGAUGAUCAGCCACACUGGUACUGAGACACGGCCCAGCCUCCUACGGGAGGCAGCAGUGGGGAAUAUUGCACAAUGGGCGCAAGCCUGAUGCAGCCAUGCCGCGUGUAGGAAGACGGCCUUAGGGUUGUAAAGUACUUUCAGCUGGGAGGCGUUACCCGCAGAAGAAGCACCGUCUAACUCCGUGCCAGCAGCCGCGGUAAUUC
rnacentral:rRNA from 1 species